rnacentral:rRNA from 1 species
CAGCAGUGGGGAAUAUUGCACAAUGGGGGAAACCCUGAUGCAGCGACGCCGCGUGGAGGAAGAAGGUCUUCGGAUUGUAAACUCCUGUUGUUGAGGAAGAUAAUGACGGUACUCAACAAGGAAGUGACGGCUAACUACGUGCCAGCAGCCGCGGUAAAACGUAGGUCACAAGCGUUGUCCGGAAUUACUGGGUGUAAAGGGAGCGCAGGCGGGAAGACAAGUUGGAAGUGAAAUCUAUGGGCUCAACCCAUAAACUGCUUUCAAAACUGUUUUUCUUGAGUAGUGCAGAGGUAGGCGGAAUUCCCGGUGUAGCGGUGGAAUGCGUAGAUAUCGGGAGGAACACCAGUGGCGAAGGCGGCCUACUGGGCACCAACUGACGCUGAGGCUCGAAAGUGUGGGUAGCAAACAGGAUUAGAUACCCUGGUAGUCCACACCGUAAACGAUGAUUACUAGGUGUUGGAGGAUUGACCCCUUCAGUGCCGCAGUUAACACAAUAAGUAAUCCACCUGGGGAGUACGACCGCAAGGUUGAAACUCAAAGGAAUUGACGGGGGCCCGCACAAGCAGUGGAGUAUGUGGUUUAAUUCGACGCAACGCGAAGAACCUUACCAAGUCUUGACAUCCUGCGACGAUGCUGGAAACAGUAUUUUCCUUCGGGACGCAGAGACAGGUGGUGCAUGGUUGUCGUCAGCUCGUGUCGUGAGAUGUUGGGUUAAGUCCCGCAACGAGCGCAACCCUUAUUGUCAGUUACUACGCAAGAGGACUCUGGCCAGACUGCCGUUGACAAAACGGAGGAAGGUGGGGAUGACGUCAAAUCAUCAUGCCCUUUAUGACUUGGGCUACACACGUACUACAAUGGCGUUAAACAAAGAGAAGCAAGACCGCGAGGUGGAGCAAAACUCAGAAACAACGUCCCAGUUCGGACUGCAGGCUGCAACUCGCCUGCACGAAGUCGGAAUUGCUAGUAAUCGUGGAUCAGCAUGCCACGGUGAAUACGUUCCCGGGCCUUGUACACACCGCCCGUCACACCAUGAGAGCCGGGGGGACCCGAAGUCGGUAGUCUAACCGCAAGGAGGACGCCGCCGAAGGUAAAACUGGUGAUUGGGGUGAAGUCGUAACAAGGUAGCCGUAGGAGAACCUGCGGCUG